AAGUAUCUCUCUCAUUUUAGAGAUUUUGGUAGGUAUGGAACGUAUAUGAAAUUGGAGAGCUUCGUGUUAUUGUUGUUGCUGCUUAGUGUAUUGGGUUUCUCUGUAGUUCCUUAAUGUUUCAGGGAUUAGAAAGAUUGGCAAGUCCAUUAAAGAAAUUCUUGUUUAUGUUGAUUUUGUUCUUGUUUAUUAACAUCAAACAGA
rnacentral:misc_RNA from 1 species